rnacentral:rRNA from 1 species
CAGGUCUUGACAUCCUCUGACAACCCUAGAGAUAGGGCUUCCCCUUCGGGGGCAGAGUGACAGGUGGUGCAUGGUUGUCGUCAGCUCGUGUCGUGAGAUGUUGGGUUAAGUCCCGCAACGAGCGCAACCCUUGAUCUUAGUUGCCAUCAUUAAGUUGGGCACUCUAAGGUGACUGCCGGUGACAAACCGGAGGAAGGUGGGGAUGACGUCAAAUCAUCAUGCCCCUUAUGACCUGGGCUACACACGUGCUACAAUGGACGGUACAAAGAGCUGCAAGACCGCGAGGUGGAGCUAAUCUCAUAAAACCGUUCUCAGUUCGGAUUGUAGGCUGCAACUCGCCUACAUGAAGCUGGAAUCGCUAGUAAUCGCGGAUCAGCAUGCCGCGGUGAAUACGUUCCCGGGCCUUGUACACACCGCCCGUCACACCACGAGAGUUUGUAACACCCGAAGUCGGUGGGGUAACCUUUUUGGAGCCAGCCGCCUAAGGUGGGACAGAUGAUUGGGGUG